rnacentral:rRNA from 1 species
UACGGGGGGGGCAAGCGUUGUUCGGAAUUACUGGGCGUAAAGGGCUCGUAGGCGGCCAACUAAGUCAGACGUGAAAUCCCCAGGCUCAACCUGGGGACUGCGUCUGAUACUGGAUGGCUUGAAUCCGGGAGAGGGAUGCAGAAUUCCAGGUGUAGCGGUGAAAUGCGUAGAUAUCUGGAGGAAUACCGGUGGCGAAGGCGGCAUCCUGGACCGGCAUUGACGCUGAGGAGCGAAAGCUAGGGGAGCAAACGGG